GUAGAAUGAGGACCCAGAUUGUUUGGAGCAAUAUGCUGACAAUCUAAAUUGCUCAGAGAGUGCUUUAAAGUACUAUGGAACAGUAUAUAAGUCUAAUUGCUAUUGCUA